CGACACAUUCGAACAAAGUGAAGAUCCCGCCCCGGACAACUCUGCCUCUUCAUCGAGAGGGUGGGAACUGCGCAUGCGCGCCUCUUCCAAGAUGGCUGCCCCCGUGGAUCUGGAGCUGAAGAAGGCUUUUGCUGAAUUACAGACCAAAGUGCUCGAUACACAACAGAAGGUGAAACUUGCAGAUUUGCAGAUUGAACAAUUAAACAGGACCAAAAAACAUGCAUAUUUAACAGAUGGAGAAAUAGCUACAAUGCCAGAAGAUGCACGCAUGUAUGAGGGUGUUGGGAGAAUGUUCAUUCUUCAACCAAAAGCAGUAAUUCACAAUCAGCUUCUUGAGAAACAAAAAAUAGCUGAACAGAAGAUCAAAGAGCUUGAGUUAGUCCUGACGAAGGGUCUCGGCCCAAAACGUCGACUGUACCUCUUCCUAGAGAUGCUGCCUGGCUUGCUGCGUUCACCAGCAAUUUUUAUGUGUGUUGCGUGAAAUUCCAGCGACUGCAGAAUUCCACCUGACGAUGAUGGAUGGUAUGCAAGACAAGUUUUCCCACUGUACCUUGGUACAUGUGACAAUCAGAAAAUUCCAUACAAAAGAAGUCCUAUUUGGAACGUAGUGUGAAAGAUGCAGAAGACAACAUCAGAGAAAUGUUAAUGGCCAGAAGAGGACAAUAACCAUUUUUCCUUUUGGCAGCUGAUUUACCUUGGUGUUCAUUUAGCUUGGAUUCCAGAAGAUUGUUGGCCAUGAUGUAACUCAUAGCAUUAACACCGUCAGUCAAUAACUUUUAUUCAGUGGCAUAAUGGUACUCAGUUCUCUUUGAAUCUGUGAUACUGUCACUAGUUAAAAUAAUAUAAAUGACAGGAGCUACUUUAUGACCAGCAAUUUACUUGAAUCCAACUGAAAUGAAGAUCGAUAAAAGGGCAACUGAAAUGGUACAUUUAAUGUAUAUGAAAGGUCAUUUGCUUAUUGGAGCAUUGUGGUUCGGUGAAAACUUUCCAGUUUUACUUCUAUUGCCAACUAUUAAUUUUUCAAGAUCCUUGUCAAAAAAAUAAUAAAUCUUUAGUUCAGUUUAUGUGGUAAAUAUAAGCAUAUUUUACUUUAUAACAGUAAUUUGAACACUGAACUUUUGCCAGCAUGCUUUGUUUAAAAGCUAUGUUUUCCGAGUAGCCUGAAGUAUAUAUAUGAUGUAAGCCAAUCUUGAAACAGGUUUAUUAAACACCAAUGAUCCCUUCAUCUGGCAUCUGUUACAGAAUGUAGAAUUCUAUAGAAACACGUUUGUGAAUAUCAGAUGCUUUGCUUUGAAACUAUUGAGCUAUUUGUUCCACAUGAUGGAAAGAAUCUAUCAAAACAAUAAUAAAACCUCCAAUUAU